rnacentral:lncRNA from 10 species
GUGGGAGAGCAGAGCAGGAGCCACGAUGGCGGGGGCCAUGGCAGGACAAGCAUUUAGAACGUUUCUCUGCUCCUUGACUGAGUAUUGGUUGAAAGGCAUGCACCCGAAACCCUGCACUCAAAGCCAUGACAUGAGGGACUUGGAUAACAAAUACUUGGAUAAUGAAAACAUCCAAUAAUUAAUGUGCCACCUACUCACCAGGAUCAUGGCCCAACAGGGAAAUGUGGAACAAAGCUCUCCUCAAGGGGAAAGAAAAUGGGAUACACGGCUUGGAAAACCUUCACUAACACUCCCAUAUGAAGAGUGAUAGAAUGCUAAUUUCCCACAGAUUCAUUAUCACCAUGAAAUGAAAUUUUGGAACACAUCACAGAAUGUGCUUGCCUGUGAUUUCAAGAAAUCUACUUCUCAGCAGUUGAGGUUGGACUCAGAUUUUUUUAUGUACUAG